GCAAGUCUGGUGCCAGCAGCCGCGGUAAUUCCAGCUCCAAUAGCGUAUAUUAAAGUUGUUGCAGUUAAAAAACUCGUAGUUGAACCUUGGGUCUGGCUGGCCGGUCCGUCUCACCGCGAGUACUGGUCCGGCUGGACCUUUCCUUCUGGGGAACCUCAUGGCCUACACUGGUUGUGGGGGGAACCAGGACUUCUACUGUGAAAAAAUUAGAGUGUCCAAAGCAGGCCUUUGCUCGAAUACAUUAGCAUGGAAUAAUAGAAUAGGACGUGUGGUUCUAUUUUGUUGGUUUCUAGGACCGCCGUAAUGAUUAAUAGGGAUAGUCGGGGGCGUCAGUAUUCAGCUGUCAGAGGUGAAAUUCUUGGAUUUGCUGAAGACUAACUACUGCGAAAGCAUUCGCCAAGGAUGUUUUCAUUAAUCAGGGAACGAAAGUUAGGGGAUCGAAGACGAUCAGAUACCGUCGGAGUCUUAACCAUAAACUAUGCCGACUAGGGAUCGGACGGGAUUCUCAUAAUGACCCGCUCGGCACCUCACGAGAAAUCAAAGUUUUUGGGUUCUGGGGGGAGUAUGGUCGCAAGG
rnacentral:rRNA from 1 species